UACGUAGGGUGCGAGCGUUGUCCGGAAUUAUUGGGCGUAAAGAGCUCGUAGGCGGCUUGUCGCGUCGGAUGUGAAAGCCCGGGGCUUAACUCCGGGUCUGCAUUCGAUACGGGCAGGCUAGAGUUCGGUAGGGGAGAUCGGAAUUCCUGGUGUAGCGGUGAAAUGCGCAGAUAUCAGGAGGAACACCGGUGGCGAAGGCGGCUCACUGGUCCGGUACUGACGCUGAGGUGCGAAAGCGUGGGGAGCAAACAGG
rnacentral:rRNA from 1 species